UAAGCUAACAAGUUAACCUGCCUCAGUUUCAUGGAUGCUGGCAGGAGGCAGCAUCCUGGGUCAGUAGGCAGCAUGAACUUCAUGUUAGUUCCCUUUGACAUUCAUAUCUCACGGUAAGGGAGGAGACCACCCCUCAUAUUGUCUUAUGCCCAAUUUCUAACUCCAAAAAAAGAAGAAGUAAAAACUAAAAGGCAGAAAUGAAAUCCACAAGCAGACAGCCCGGUGCCACACCCUGGGCCUGGUAAAGAUCAACCCCUGACCUAAUUGGUUAUCUAUAGAUUACAGACAUUGUAUAGAAAAGCACUGUGAAAAUCCCUGUCCUGUUCUGUUCCAUUCUACCCCCUGCUUGCUCAAUCGAUCACGACCCUCCCAAACAGACCCCCUUAGAGUUGUGAGCCCCUAAAAGGGACAGGAAUUGGUCACUUGGGGAGCUUGGUUGUUGGAGACAAGAGUCUUGCCAAAGCUCCCGGCUGAAUAAAGCCCUUCCUUCUCAGUGUCUGAGGGGUUUUGUCUGUGGCUUGUCCUGCUACAACGGGAGUGACAUGGAACAGCCCAGGUGAGUGCUGUGCAUCACUGCUAAGGGACCUUGAGCUUGGGAAACCCUGUCUGUAAGAAAACUCACUCAACUUUUGCCCCAGGAGAAGGUAUUUUGUACAAAAAUAAUAGAAAAGAUGGUCUGAAACAAAAGCUGUUCAGUGCUGCUGCUCACCAAAUGCACAAACCUAAGACCCAUGGAAAUCUUUCUACCAGCCUAUUUCUUCCUCCUUCCCCACUUUAACUAAAAGAGAAAUUUAUGAAUUAAUUUCAGUGGAGAAGUAGAUGGUUUUUUAACCAUCAAAUACAUUAUAAUUUUACUAGAAAAAGUAUAAGCCUUAUACAUAUGGAUAUAAAGAAAAAAUAAUUAUGUGCAAAUGCAAGAAUAUUGGCAGUAUGUUGUGUUUGACAGUAACUCUUUGAUAAAGUCAACUAACAGCACAAUUUUUAAAAAAUAGGUGUAGUUUUAAAAUGCAGUUGUUUGGAUCUUUUUUUUUUUUUUUUAGUUAUCAAAUGUUUUAUCCUUGUGUCAGUUAAGCAGGUGAUAAUGCUUUACAGGUUAUAUAGUACUUUCAGAGAAACUUUACUUACAUCUCAAAAUAGUCCAAUAAGAAGAUAACCCUGUUUUAUAGGUACAGAAAUUGAGGCUUAAAAAAAAAUUAAGUGAGUUGUACAAGGUGAGAUGUUAGUAAGUGGCAGAAUGGUAAUCUAAACCCAAGGCCUCAACAACUAUGAAAAAUCUGAAAGUCUGUCUUUUUCCUAGAGUUUAGCUAUUUUAUCCUGACCCUUCUCAAUCAGUAGUCUGUCUUCAACGAUUUGGACUUCAAACCACUUUUAGAAAUAUGUCUGUGAACUCAUGUGCGUAUCCAGAGCUUUACAAGUCAGCAAGAGAAUGCCUCAGAAUAGAUUUUCCAAUAUGUAGCAACAUAAGCCUAAAGAAUAAUUUUCAAGAUUAUCUCUAUAUUUUUAUUUUAAGUAAAAGUACAUGACAGAUCUUGGAUUAAUGAGAAAGGGAUCAAAUAUUAAUCCAAAAUGGAAGCUAUUUUAAUUUAGACAUUUGGUGGUAUUUAAUUUGAUAUACAAGGAGGUUAGAAGGAGAAAUAGGUUUUACAAUAGAGAUAAGUUUUUCUUAUACCUGAUGAGUGUUUUAUUUUAAGUAGGAUUUUUUUGGCCAGUUAAUCCAUGCUAAUAGGAAAUUUGGAAAAUAGAGAAAAAUAUAAAAAAUGUAAAAUAAGAGUCCCUUAUUUCAUUAACAUCGUAAUAAGAGAUAAGCACUUUUAAUUAUUUAUGGCCUUCUAGUCUUUUAAUCAGUGUCUGUAUUUAAUGUAAUUGGGAUGAUGAUUUAUGCAUUUUUGUUUUUUUUGUUUUGUUUAACCCUGAUUCCAGUUUCUACAUGAUUAUUUUUACGACAUAUUUUUGUUAGCUACAUAACGUUCUAGUGUCAGAAUUAUUAGUAUUUAGUUAAAACCUGCUCAGAUUGGGUUUUUAGGUUGUGUUUUUGCUGCAAUAAACAUAAUAGGAACAACAUGUUUUCAUGUAAAGCUUUAUCCUCAUUUUGUACUGCAGGAAAAAUACCUAGGUUAGAAUUACUAAAUUAAAAAAUGGACACUUGGGGCCGGGCGCAGUGGCUCACGCCUGUAAUUCCACCACUUUGGGGAGCUGAGGCGGGCAGAUCACUUGACAUCGGGAGUUCAAGACCAGCCUGACCAACAUGGAGAAACCCCGUCUCUACUAGAAAUACAAAAAAUUAUCCAGACGUAGUGGCACAUGCCUGUAAUCCCAGCUACUUGGGAGGCUGAGGUAGGAGAAUCGCUUGAACCCGGGAGGCAGAGGUUGUGGUGAGCCGAGAUCAUGCCAUUGAACUCCAGCCUGGGCAACAAGAGCGAAACUCCGUCUCCAAAAAAAAAAAAAGACACUUAUUUAGGCUUUCCAUAUAUCAUGGGAAGACAUGUAAGGAAUUUGCAUAAGACAGCUAAGCAAAAUGGAGCUGGAGGAGCUUUAUUUGUGCACAGAGAUACUCCUGAGAAUAACCCUGAUACUCCAUUUGAUUUCACACCAGAAAACUAUAAGAGGAUAGAGGCAAUUGUAAAAAACUAUCCAGAAGGCCAUAAAGCAGCAGCUGUUCUUCCAGUCCUGGAUUUAGCCCAAAGGCAGAAUGGGUGGUUGCCCAUCUCUGCUAUGAACAAGGUUGCAGAAGUUUUACAAGUACCUCCAAUGAGAGUAUAUGAAGUAGCAACUUUUUAUACAAUGUAUAAUCGAAAGCCAGUUGGAAAGUAUCACAUUCAGGUCUGCACUACUACACCCUGCAUGCUUCGAAACUCUGACAGCAUACUGGAGGCCAUUCAGAAAAAGCUUGGAAUAAAGGUUGGGGAGACUACACCUGACAAACUUUUCACUCUUAUAGAAGUGGAAUGUUUAGGGGCCUGUGUGAACGCACCAAUGGUUCAAAUAAAUGACAAUUACUAUGUGAGUAUUUCAGGAGGAUUUGACAGCUAAGGAUAUUGAAGAAAUUAUUGAUGAGCUCAAGGCUGGCAAAAUCCCAAAACCUGGGCCAAGGAGUGGACGCUUCUCUUGUGAGCCAGCUGGAGGUCUUACCUCUUUGACUGAACCACCCAAGGGACCUGGAUUUGGUGUACAAGCAGGCCUUUAAUUUAUAUUGAACUGUAAAUAUGUCACUAGAGAAAUAAAAUAUGGACUUCCAGUCUACGUAAA